GGGGAGCAAUCCCCCCGGUAGAGUGGCGAACGGGUGAGUAAUACAUCGGAACGUACCCAGUAGCGGGGGAUAACCUCUCGAAAGAGAGGCUAAUACCGCAUACGACCUGAGGGUGAAAGAGGGGGCUCGCAAGAACCUCUCACUAUUGGAGCGGCCGAUGUCGGAUUAGCUAGUUGGCGGGGUAACGGCCCACCAAGGCUACGAUCCGUAGCUGGUCUGAGAGGACGGCCAGCCACACUGGAACUGAGACACGGUCCAGACUCCUACGGGAGGCAGCAGUGGGGAAUUUUGGACAAUGGGCGCAAGCCUGAUCCAGCCAUGCCGCGUGGGUGAAGAAGGCCUUCGGGUUGUAAAGCCCUUUCGGCUGGGACGAAAAGGUCCGUGUUAACACCACGGAUCCAUGACGGUACCAGCAGAAGAAGCACCGGCUAACUACGUGCCAGCAGCCGCGGUAAUACGUAGGGUGCAGGCGUUAAUCGGAAUUACUGGGCGUAAAGCGUGCGCAGGCGGUCUGCUAAGAGAGAUGUGAAAGCCCCGGGCUUAACCUGGGAACUGCGUUUCUAACUGGCAGGCUUGAGUGUGGCAGAGGGGGGUGGAAUUCCACGUGUAGCAGUGAAAUGCGUAGAGAUGUGGAGGAACACCGAUGGCGAA
rnacentral:rRNA from 1 species